rnacentral:rRNA from 1 species
AUGCCUAGGAAUCUGCCUGGUAGUGGGGGAUAACGCUCGGAAACGGACGCUAAUACCGCAUACGUCCUACGGGAGAAAGCAGGGGACCUUCGGGCCUUGCGCUAUCAGAUGAGCCUAGGUCGGAUUAGCUAGUUGGUGAGGUAAUGGCUCACCAAGGCGACGAUCCGUAACUGGUCUGAGAGGAUGAUCAGUCACACUGGAACUGAGACACGGUCCAGACUCCUACGGGAGGCAGCAGUGGGGAAUAUUGGACAAUGGGCGAAAGCCUGAUCCAGCCAUGCCGCGUGUGUGAAGAAGGUCUUCGGAUUGUAAAGCACUUUAAGUUGGGAGGAAGGGCAUUAACCUAAUACGUUGGUGUCUUGACGUUACCGACAGAAUAAGCACCGGCUAACUCUGUGCCAGCAGCCGCGGUAAUACAGAGGGUGCAAGCGUUAAUCGGAAUUACUGGGCGUAAAGCGCGCGUAGGUGGUUCGUUAAGUUGGAUGUGAAAUCCCCGGGCUCAACCUGGGAACUGGAUUCCAAACUGGCGAGCUA